UACGUAGGGUGCUAGCGUUGUCCGGAUUUAUUGGGCGUAAAGGGCGUGUAGGCGGUUGGUCAAGUCUGGUGUGAAAGCCCGGGGCUUAACCCCGGAAGUGCGCUGGAAACUAGCCAGCUAGAGCGCGAGAGAGGAGGGUGGAAUUCCUGGUGUAGCGGUGAAAUGCGUAGAUAUCAGGAGGAACACCGGCGGCGAAGGCGGCCCUCUGGCUCGUUGCUGACGCUGAAACGCGAAAGCGUGGGGAGCAAACAGG
rnacentral:rRNA from 1 species